GGACGACCAAAACAGAAGAACGCGAAGGAGAAAGAAGAGAAAGAAGAAAAGAAGGAAAGAAAACGAUUUAGCCGUUCGAUUUCAAUUCCGACUUCGGUGUACGUUGGAAGAGAUUUGGGUGAAAUUGCGGGAGCUAGGGAGUGUCGAUAAGAGGUAUGCAUGGCACAUCCGAGACAGGGGACGUCUCGAGAUAUAGAAAGAUAGGCUGAGUGAGUGAACUUACGUAUAUUGUAUUAUAUGUAAAUUUUUAACCGGAAAAACCUCUUGCUAAGGGGUGUGUUUUGUA